rnacentral:lncRNA from 1 species
CAAAUCAAAACUACAAUGAGAUACCACCUCACACCAAUCAGAAGGGUCAUCAUUAAGAUUGCACAUAACACAUGCUGGAGAAGGUGUGGAGAAAAGAGAACCCUCCUACACUGUUGGCAAUGUAAAUUGGUGCAGCCAGUAUGAAGAACAGUAUGGAGCUUCCUCAAAAAACUAAAAUUAGGGUUGCCAGAUAAGACAGCAUUUCUGCUCCUGGGUAUAUACCCAGAUAAGACUAUAACUUGAGAAGAUACAUGCACCCCUAUGUUCAUAGCAGCACUAUUCACAAUAGCCAAGACAUGGAAACAGUCUAAAUGUCCAUUGACAGAUGAAUGGAUAAAGAAGAUGUGAUACAUACAUACAAUGUAAUAUUACUCAGCUAUUAAAAAGAAUGAAAAAAAAAGCCAAUUGCAGCAACAUGGGUAAACCUAGAAAGGGAAAGACAAAUACCAUAUAAUAUCACUUACCUGUGGAAUCUAAAAUAUGACAAAUCAACAUAUCUAUGAGACGAAAACAGACUCUCAGAUAUAGAUAACAGACUUGUCAUUGACAAGGGGGAAAAGGGGUAGAGGAGGGAAAGAUUGGGAGUUUGGGACUAGCAGAGGCAAAGUAGUAUGUAUAGGAUGGAAAAACAACAAGGUCCUAUUGUAUAGCAUAGAGAAUUAUAUUCAAUAUCCUGUGAUAAGCUAUAAUGGAAAAGAAUAUGAAAAAAAUACAUAUAUGGGAGUUCCCAUCGUGGCACAGUGGUUAACGAAUCCGACUGGAACCAUGAGCUUGCGGGUUCGGUCCCUGCCCUUGCCCAGUGGGUUACCGAUCCUGCGUUGCCGUGAGCUGUGGUGUAGGUUGCAGAUGCGGCUCGGAUCCCGCGUUGCUGUGGCUCUGGUGUAGGCUGGUGGCUACAGCUCUGAUUCGACUCCUAGCCUGGGAACCUCCAUAUGCCACGGGAGCGGCACAAAGAAAUAGCAAAAAGACAAAAUAAAUAAAUAAAUAAACUUUUCAUGCAGGAGUGCGCGCACGUGUAUGUGUGUGUGUGUGUGUGAGAGAGAAAUCAAAAAAAAAGAAAAAAAAAGAAUACAUAUAUGUAUGUAUAACUGAAUCACUUUGCUAUGCAUCAAAAAUUAACACAACAUUGUAAAUUAACUAUACUUAAAUAAAAAUUUUUUAAAAUAUGUAAUUUGUGUACCAUCCUUUGCAUAUUGGGUUUAGUAACCCGAGAAUUCAGUAUUUUAUUAGGUAAGGUUCUUUGGGUUGCAGAAAAUGACUUGUACCAGCUUCAAUGAACCCCAAAGCACAAAUGAAUUGCAAAGAUCUGGGUUUGCCCUCGGAGCAAGCAAGAAGCAGGACCAGAAGGCUGUAGCAACAGGGCUCAGCUCCACUCACUCACUAUUUAUAUCUGUAGUUUAAAGACAAGACACUGUUGAGAAUACUAAAGAAAGUCACUUUGGCAUUCCUUCGUGGCUCAGUGGGUUAAGGAUUCAGCAGGGUCAUUGCUGUGGCUCUGGUUACAGCUGUGGCAAGGGUUCAAUCCCUGGCCUGGAAACAUUCUCAUGCCACAGUGCAGUUCCCCUGCCCCCACAAAAAAUCUGAGUUCCCAUCAUGGCUCAGUGGUUAAAGAACCCAACUAGUAUCUAUAAGGAUGUGAGUUUGAUCCCUGGCCUUGCUCAGUGGGUUAAGGAUCUUGUGUUGCCAUGCACUGUGAUAUAGGUCACAGUCAAGGCUCAGAUUCCACAAGGCUGUGGCAUAGGCCAGCAGCUACUGUUCUGAUUUGACACCUAGCCUGGGAACCUUCCUGUGCUCCAAUGCCGCCUUAAAAAGACAAAAGAAAAAAAAAUCCAGAUACUUUAUUUUUUAUUUUAUUUUGGGGGGGUCUUUUUGUUUUUUUAGGGCCACACCUGCAGCAUAUGGAGGUUCCCAGGCUAGGGGUCUAAUCAGAGCUGUAGCCUCCAGCUUAUGCCACAGCCAUAGCAACACCAGAUCAAGCUACGUCUUCAACCUACACCACAGCUCCCAGCAACGCCAGAUCCUUAACCCACUGAGUAAGGCCAGGGAUCGAACUGCAAGGUCAUGGUUCCUAGUUGGAAUCGCUUCUGAUGCGCCACAACGGGAACUCCCCAGAUACUUUAAAAAGAGGAUCUGAUAAGUCUAUCAGGGUUCAUCCUUAAACCAAUCAUCUCUGGCCUCCAGGGCAGUCCUAUACCACUGGCUGAGCUGUUGGCAUUUCCUACAAAGGGAGGAGUGAUUCUGAGCAGGGCAUCCACCCAAGAGGCACUUGCGGCCAUGGGCACUUCUAUUAAUUUCCCUAAAUUUCUUCACAUGAUACAGAUGAAUGAUAUUUCUCAAGUACAACACCUAAUUUUCCCUGGGUUUAAUCCUCAGGAUCACAGAACUAAAUGCUAUAUUAUAGAACCAAAUGCCUGUGAUAUAUGCUUGAAAUGCAUGAAAAUAUACAUAAGCCUAAGAAAGGCAGGAAAGUUCAUCUUUUCUCAUAUAACCUGCAAAAAGAGUUUUGUGACCAUGUAUGUAGAUUCAUAGUCACAUCUCCGUAAAAAGAUUUAUUUUCCUGAUAGGACAGUCUGUGCCAGCACUUUAUAUCCACAAUCUAUAAGCAUCACCAUAACUCGAUGUCAUGUAUUGAAGAGUGUUUCCCAUCAAAAGUCAUGCCCACCUGGAACCUCAGAAUAUGACCUUAUUUGGCAGUAGGGUCUUUGCCGAUAUAAGGAUCAAGAUGAGAUUAUGCUGGAGAAGGAUGGGCCCUAAAUCCAAAGAGAGUGUCUAGACAAGGUACAGAAAAAGACACACUGAAGACACAGAAGAAGAAAAAAAUGAGGCCAAGAUUGGAGAAAUGAACCUGCAAGCCAAGAAAGGCUAAGGAUUGCCUAUGGCUAGGUCCAGGACACACUGUUCCAAAAUAUGGCACCUGGCAGUUGGCACUGUGGAGCAGUGGGUUAAGAAUCUGACUACAGGGAGUUCCCAUUGUGUCUCAGAGAGUUAAGAACCCGAGUAGUAUCCAUGAGGGUGUGGGUUUGAUCCCUGGCCUUGCUCAGCAGGUUAAGCAUCAGGCGUUGCCACAAGCUGCAGCGCAGGUCGCAGAUGUGGCUUGGCUGUGGCAUGGCUGUGGCUGUGGUGUAGGCUGGCAGCUGCAGCUCUGAUUGGACCCCUAGCCUGGAAACUACCAUAUACCACAGGUACAACCCUAAAAAGAAAAAAAAAGAAUCCAACUGCAGCAAGUCAGGUCAUUAAAGAGGUGCAGGUUUGAUCCCCAGCCCAGGGCAGUGGGUUAAAGGAGCUGGCAUUGCUGUUGCAACUCAGAUUCAAUCCCUGGCCCAGAAACUUCCAUAUGCCGUGGGUGUGGCCAUUAAAAAGAAAACAAACACAAAAACAAAAUAUGGCACCUAGGCAUAGGCUGAAGGAGUUUGCAGAAACAGCAGACACAAAAAGUCACGCUGACCUCACCACCAGCAUCACCCUGCCCUUCUCCCCUGAGGCAGAUCAUAAAACUCUCAGUAAGAGAUGCCUUCCCUAUACUCAAAGGGAAGGAACAUCCUUAUCUCCAAAGACCAGGGCUGCCAAGAAUCCAAACGAGCAGGCUUUGCCAAGUUUCCCCCAGCUUUCUGCUCACACCUCCUUCCCCUUGUCCUGUUAUACCUUCCACCCUUCAGCAAACGUGCCAUACAAAUACAUGCGUAAGCAUUUCUUCAGGCCUUCAUUUCCCUGUGAAGGCUCCUGGGUCACAUAAAAUUAGAUUCUAAAUAUAUUUGUAUGCUUUCUGCCUGCGUAUGUCUUUGUCUGUUUAAUUUUCAGACGUAGCCAGGAACAUUAUGAGGGUGGAAGAAAGCGCUCCCCUCAUCUGUGUGGUUUCGCUCUCAGAGCCUCAAGCAAGCCAUCAGCUCUACUGCUAUUCCUCUGGAAACCUUGACUCCAGAUUUCAGGUCUCCUGAAGGGUGAGAACAUGAAUUCUGUGGUUUAAAGGCACCCAGUUUGUGGUAUUUUGUUUUGGAAGCCCUAGCAAAUGAAAACCCUCUACAAGGUAGAUAUCAUUAAGGCGCAGGACCAAUGUUCCAGAGCUACCAGUGACUACUAGUUACCCACCCAAUAGCUAACCUCUCCUUGUUCCUCACCAGCAGAGCAAAGCUUUGUUGGGAUUAAAAACAUCCCCAUUUCCCAGCCCAGGGAUGGUCCAUGAGAAAGAAGCAGAAGUCACUGGGAAGACUCCAAAGAGGAAAUGGAAUUCUUCCUCCUGCCAGUAGGGCAUGUUGUGCCUGGAGCCCCCAAGGCGUGGGGGGGGGGGGGAAUGGACCCGGGGAAGGAGACCAGAGUCUAAGGAGGGUAAACAAAUAGGUGGAAGGAACUUGGGUCCUUGAUGGCUGUAGCGUUGCCAUAUCUGCCCUGACCUCUUUAUCACAGGAUAAUAAUAAAAAUUAAAAUUAUGCCUCGUUGUAUCACUGCUAUCUGGGUGAAACCUAGUCCCAAUUGCCACCACUACAGUGUCAGAAUUAAGGUAUGAGGGAGUUCCUGUUGGGGCUCAGUGGUUUAGAGCCUGACUAGUAUCCAUGAGGAUGUGGGUUCCAUCCUGCUCAGUGGGUUAAGGAUCUGGCCUUGCUAUGACUGUGGUGUAGAUCACAGGCUUGGAUUCCGAGUUGCUGUGGCUGUGGUGUAGGCCAACACUAUAGGGGUGCCCCCCCCCAAAAAAGAAUUAAGAUAUGAAUCUGAACAUACAUGAAGGUAAAAUCUCACAUUUGUUCUCCGAGCCCACUUGCUUUCCUACCGGAAGAUACAGGAGGUCUGGGAACAAGCCCCUGGUUUUGCCGCUACUGCACACAACAACACGAAGCAGGUUUCACUUUUCAUCAGGAAGGUCAGGGAAGCCCCAGCAGGAAGGUGACACCUGAGCCAACACCUGGAAGAGGCAAAGGGUGAGUCUACGUGGAUGACUAGGGUGAAGAGCUUUCCAGGCAAAAGGAAUAACAAAGCACGGGCCCAUGAUGCACCUGCACCUUCCCAUCUAUAAAGUGAGAUGAUCAGACAAAUGACUUUAAACCUUCCUUAGGAAUGUAAUGUGUAUGUGGGAGCAGGUUCAGUGGAAUGACCAGCAGGGAUCUUGCUUGAAAAUACUUCCCACAUGUAAGGAGGUCCCAACACAAAACUUUUAGGCUAGAAUUUCUCUUGGUCCCAUGGAAAGUUUCUAGGUAUAAUGUACAAGAGAAGGAGAGAAAUUGUUCUGGGGUCCAAGAAGUUUUGGAAGCUCUCUUACAAUAGUUAAAAAGGGUUUAUUUACUUUAGGACUUCUCAGAUCCUUUACUAUGCCAAUGGAGACAUGAUUAUCUGAAAGUGAGUUGUAGUUUGCAGACUCUGUGCAACAUAAUCGACCAUGGAAGCCUUUUUUAUGCAAAGCAACUGUUGAGACUAUUCCUUAGAACACACGUUGGGAACAAAUACUCCACACUGGCAGCUGGCAAACUUUUUCUACAAAGAACCAAAUAGUAAAUAUUAUAGGCUCUGGGGGCCAAAUGGUCUGUUGCAAUUAUUUGAUUGUGCCAUUUUGGCUUGAAAGCAGCUACAAACAACACGUAAAUGGAUGGGUGUGGCUGUGUUCUAAUAAAACUUGGUUUAUAGAUACUGGAACUUGGAUUUAAUGCAAUUGUUACAUAUCAUGA